GAUGAGAACGCAGCGAAAUGCGAUAAGUAGUGUGAAUUGCAGAAUUCAGUGAAUCAUCGAAUCUUUGAACGCACAUUGCGCCCCUUGGUAUUCCAUGGGGCAUGCCUGUUCGAGCGUCAUUUGUACCCUCAAGCUCUGCUUGGUGUUGGGUGUUUGUCUCGCGGUUCUGCGCAGACUCGCCUUAAAACAAUUGGCAGCCGGCUGUUAGCCUGGAGCGCAGCACAUAUUGCGCCUCUUGCUAGCGACUGCCCGGCACCCAUCAAGCCCAUUUAUUUGCUCUUGACCUCGGAUCAGGUAGGGAUACCCGCUGAACUUAAGCAUAUCAAUAAGCGGAGGA
rnacentral:misc_RNA from 1 species